ACAAUUUCAUAUUUUAUGUUAAUGAAAUGGUCUUUUAUCUCUAGAUCACAGGAUUAGAUGUAUGCAGGGAGUAUUCUUAGCUAAAGACUCUCUGAAUGAAGGCUGCUACAAAGCUGGUGUGGAUAUACUGCAUUGGUUUCAGUCAGCUUUGCACAGAGCCAAAACUGUCCUGUCACAUUCAAUAACUGGUUAAAGAAUGAGAAAUCUUCUUUUAUUUCCUUACAAAGCCCAUUAGCAAAAAAUUUAGAUGCAGACUCUACCUCUGAGUUUGGAGUCUGCCUGAUUAAAAUAAUUUCUCCUCCCUUUGUGAUAACAACCUGCAAUUGUUUAACACUCCUGUAGUACUUCUUUAAUAAAGCCACUGGUAAUAACAGCAAAUUUACCAAAAGAUUAAUGUAAAAUUUUCCCUGAAUUACUGAAUUUACUGCUACUUGGGGUGUCUUCUGUUAUAAAUGGAAAUUGCAAGGAGACACCCUAUUAGUUCCCCGGCAAUGUGUAUGUCGGUCACAACACCCUUUAGAAAAACGGGGAGAAAUUGACUAUGGAUUCUUCUGUACAAUAACAAGAAAUUAUUACAACAUAACAAUGUUUGUCAGAUUAAUUUGAAAGCAGAAUUUGUUGUGAUUUAAACUGUGAAAAGAAAAUGAGUUCUGAAAAUACUUCUUUAUGCCCUUUUCUUCUAAGAGCCUAAUUUCUUGGAAGGACUUUCUAAUUAGUGUAAUCUGGUGUGACUUCAUUAACCCACCAUUUCAAGUAGAUAGUCCAAUAUUUUUUUCUUGAUCAGUAGUAGUAGAUAAAGUUACUAAACUUCUAUUUCUUUAACUGCAGCACCAAUGUCAAGCAUGCGAAUUUAAACACAGUAAUACAAAAGCCAGCAUACCGCAGGUGAACAGUGUGUACUCCAGAAACAGAAAAAAAAAGAAACUUAAAUCUCCAGGACAAAAGAGUUACACUUACUUUGCAGAAAAAGAUAUAACCACCUUGUUAACAAUGACUUUGUGCAGUUCAUUUGGAAAUAUCUAAGAAUAAAAAGCAAUACUGACUAAAGCUAUGUAAAAAUCCUCAGCAAAAGCUGUUACCAACUUAUCAUUCAAAUAAAGUAACAAAUUUAUACCCUUUUACAAGUUGAAUUCCUGGGAGUUUUCUGUGGUUUAGAAGACCAUCCAGUAUGCUGUAACUUUGGACAUUGUGUGGUUUAUUUUUAUAGUUCUCAGUUAGUAAAUGCUGACUCUUUGUUGCAAAAUAAUACACUUAAGAUUUUAAAAUUGUUUUUUGAUGAGUACAAUAUUUGGAAAUUAUGCAAUGAAUGUCAAAGCACUUCAGGAACAUGGUAUUGUCUCUGUCUGAAUUGCUGCAAAGAUUCACAUUGACUCUUCUGUCAGUAGGCCUGGACUUUUAACUUGGCCUAAAUUUAAGGAUAUUCCCAUAAACACAGAAGUCCAGACCUUGUAGUUUGGUUCAUAUGCGGAUAUCCUCGUGCUUACAGAGCUUUGAUUAUGUCAGCAAGGCUAGACAUCAGCACUGAUCUUGUGUGAUUGGAUUACUGGAUUGAAGCUGCGAUUUGUCCUACUGAAACCACUUCAAGUUACUUACACAGAUAAAUCCUACUAUCAGAUUUUUUUUAUUAUUGAUUACACUUUCUGAAAUAAAAAAAAAAGGAAGCCCCAAAACCCCACAAAAACCUCGCUUGCUUUCUCCACCUUUUCAGUGGACUAGUACGCUGUCUAGUUCUGCAUUACCAAGUUUACAUAGGACUGGAAGGACAACAACUCUGGCGAAAAAUAGUAAAAGUGUUAUUUUCCUUUUCCAUGAAACAGAUGUAAAAUACCUGUGAUUUUUUAUUUCCUGUGAAUCCAUUUCCAGGCCUUAUUUAAUGCCACCACCUCGUGGGAUCAGAGAUAUUUGACAGAGUUCCUAUUUAUAAAGGAAAAUCGGAUCCCAUUUAUGUUGCCUCUUCUCUCAAGCUGUAAUUCACAUCUUCUCAUGUUUCUGGCAAAAUGAUCUGUCAAAAUUAAACCAGAAUAUGUUCAAAGCACUUUUCUUUUUUUCUUGGUUGGUCUCUCUUCUUUAUGUUGGGUUGAGAAAAGUCAUCUUGGGUAUGUCACUGUCUAUCACAGCUAGAAUAUCUGCUAGGAAGCGGAAGUGCAGUUCCGAGGCAGAUCAACUGCUGGAUUUAACAUCCUUCUAGGUUGCUGGCAUUGACAAGAAAGUAGUUCAGAUAAACAAAAGGAAAUCAGAAGAUACAGUUACAAACUGUGAACCAAUGAUUAUGAACCAGUGAGAAAAUGUGAGGAAGAUCUCUGAAAAUGUUUUGACAGUGACAACACAGACCAGACAGCUUUUAUUUUGACCAACAGAUUGUUGGGAACAAAAACUGUAGAUCAGAGUGGAGGACUUGAAACAUGCUCCAGUCUGUACAGAUGUUCUCACUCAGAAAGCAGCUAGAGGGACCGGAAGAUAAAUGAAGGCUGUCCAACUUUGAAAAAGGUUUGGAUUUUCAUUCUGUCUUGAUAAGUAAAUCCAGUUUUUGUUUUUUUCAGCCUGAUAGAAAAUUCAACAUCUAUAGACAUGACCUAAAAUGACAGAUACCUGAAAAUGCACAAGCAAGACCUUAGAAAGGUGCUAUACAAUAUCCUAAAAAUAUUUUUUGUUUUAAAUGCUUUUAUGUCAAAGGAGGGGAGCAAAGAUCAGAAAUUGGAAACGUUGUUAGUAUUCUAACUCUGGAGCAGGUCAUACAUGCUUGCAGGCAGCAUGCAAUACUUGGAAUGCAAGGCUAAGAUCUGAAAGGCGAUUCAGUUCUCUCUCCUGUAGAAAACAUUUUUUAUUAUUAUUAUUAUGGAAAGCAAGACAGGAUUACUGAGCUCAGAAGGGUUAUUUGUGAAUAACUUCCAGCUAAAGUGAUUAAGGGCUUCAGCCACUAGCCAAAAAAAAAAAAAAAAGAGCAUCAAAAACAUCCUGCUUGUCAUUGCUGCUGGCUUUUUGUUCAAUGAGGUGAGCAUUUGUCUUGUGUUGGUGUUGGUCCUCUGCCCUUGGCAAUACUUCUAACAAUGAAUAAUACUUGAAUUCCAAAAUGUGUGGGCUUUUUCUUUUUCCCUUUGAACUUUGUGCUUAAAGAUAAAUAAAGAAGUAUUUUGGUAA